rnacentral:rRNA from 1 species
GUAGGGAAUAUUGCGCAAUGGACGAAAGUCUGACGCAGCGACGCCGCGUGAGUGAUGAAGGCCUUAGGGUCGUAAAGCUCUGUUGAAUGGGAAGAAAAAAAUGACGGUACCAUUCGAGGAAGGACCGGCUAACUUCGUGCCAGCAGCCGCGGUAAUACGAGGGGUCCUAGCGUUGUUCGGAAUCAUUGGGCGUAAAGGGUGUGUAGGUGGCCAUGUAAGUCAGGUGUGAAAGCCCCGUGCUCAACCCGGGAAAUACACUUGAUACUGCGUGGCUUGAGUACCGAAGAGGGUAGUGGAAUUCCAGGUGUAGUGGUGAAAUACGUAGAUAUCUGGAGGAACACCGGUGGCGAAGGCGGCUACCUGGUCGAGUACUGACACUGAGACACGAAAGCAUGGGGAUCAAACAGGAUUAGAAACCCCGGUAGUCC